rnacentral:lncRNA from 1 species
GCCCCAGCUAGCUUGCUGUUCCCCGGAAGAUAAGAGACAUGUGUCACAGACCUGGACCCCAAUGGCAGCCUGGAGCCCAGGCCAGCUGAUGCCACCCAACAUCUCAAAAUGUGGCUGACCUGCAGUGUGUGAUUAGAGGCUUAGUUGUCUGCUGCUGAUGCUUUCAGUCAUUUAUCACCACCAGUAGCUAAUGGAUAUACAUAUUUCCUUCAGUGCCUCUUGGACACCUACACAGGAGGACGAUUUCUGGGAAGAGGAGGCAUCAUGGGAAACCCUGUCCCAAGAGACCAUUCCUUCCUCAUGUGAGUCUUGAUAGUGAUGUCACAGUCACUGUGACUCACCUCUCCCGAAAGCAUUAGUGUGUUAGUAAUAACAGUAAUUAGCAUUCACCUGGGGUUUUACAAGCAGGAGGUAACGGCAACAUAGAACUAUCUCAUGAGGUGGCAAGGCCGGGAUUAUCAUGUCCAUUUUGCAAAGAGAAAAUAAAAAACAGACAAGAAAGAGAGAGAGAACAAGCUGGGGAGCAGCAGGCAGAGGGAGAGGGAGAAGCAGGUUCUCAUUGAGCAGGCUGCCAGACACAGGACUCGAUCCCAGGACAUGGAGAUCAUGACAUGACCUGAGCCAAAGGCAGAUGUUUAACAGACUGAGCCACCCUGGCACCCCCUCUCUUGGUUAUUUUUACUGCAUGUAUGUUUAUUAUAUAUAUUUUAGAAAUUAAAAUCUUACUCUCUAUAUAAGAGCAUUUGGUGCAGCAUUCAAAACUCUUGAAAAAAACAGUUUUUAAUGCAUAGUAUUUUCUGUGGACUUACUCUAAUUUGUUAAGCAUUCUGUAUUAUUGCGAAUGUCACUCAUUUCUGAUUUUUUGUCAUUAAAAACAGUGUUUUGGUGAACAUCUUGGCUGCUAGAGGAGAUAAUUGAUGUAUUUGAUGCACAGUACAUGGUAUAUGCUCAAUAAAUAGUAGCUGGUAUAAAUAUUUGUCUAAAUCCCCAGU